AUACUCUGGUUUCUCUUCAUAACGAACAAAUCUUUCGCCUUUUACUAAAGAUUUCCGUGGAGAGAAACAAUUGCGAGUUUCCAAACAAUUUUUGAGGCCUCAUGUUUUAUGAGGC